rnacentral:rRNA from 1 species
UACGGAGGGUGCAAGCGUUAAUCGGAAUUACGGGGCGUAAAGGGUGCGUAGGCGGUUGUUUAAGUCUGUUGUGAAAUCCCCGGGCUCAACCUGGGAAUGGCAAUGGAUACUGGGCAGCUAGAGUGUGUCAGAGGAUGGUGGAAUUCCCGGUGUAGCGGUGAAAUGCGUAGAGAUCGGGAGGAACAUCAGUGGCGAAGGCGGCCAUCUGGGACAACACUGACGCUGAAGCACGAAAGCGUGGGGAGCAAACAGG